AAGUAACAGAAACCCUAGAGAGGGUAAGGGCGCUCUUCCAGACACUUUCUCCGGGUGUUUCCUGAACCUGGAGGCUCAAUCUUCCACUUGACAAGUGCCCCCACUCGCCACGCCCUCACUCCCUGCGCAGUAUGAACUGAUGUCAACAUCCUUAAAAGGACAUAAAAUCUUUUUUAACAGCAACCAGCUCUAUUCAGAAAAUAAUCAUCGAUGGAUGUUAAAAUAGUGGACAGAUCACACCGGUUUGGCUCAGUGGAUAGAGCGUCUGCCUGCAGACUGAAGGAUCCCCGGUUCGAUUCCGGCCAAAGGCACAUGUCCAGGUUGUGGGCUCAAUCCCCAGUAGGGGGCGUGUAAGAGGCAGCCAAUC